rnacentral:rRNA from 1 species
CCUACGGGAGGCAGCAGUGGGGAAUAUUGCGCAAUGGGGGCAACCCUGACGCAGCAACGCCGCGUGAUUGAAGACGGCCUUCGGGUUGUAAAGAUCUUUCCUCAGGGACGAAGAAAUGACGGUCACUGAAGAAUACGCUCCGGCUAAAUACGUGCCAGCAGCCGCGGUAAUACGUAGGGAGCAAGCGUUAUCCGGUUUUACGGGGUGUAAAGGGCGUGUAGGCGGGCCUGUAAGUCAGAAGUGAACUCUGGGGGCUUAACCCACAAACUGCUUUUGAAACUGCGGGUCUUGAGUGAUGGAGAGGCAGGCGGAAUUCCCGGGGUAGCGGUGAAAUGCGUAGAUAUCGGGAGGAACACCAGUGGCGAAGGCGGCCUGCUGGACAGUAACUGACGCUGAGGCGCGAAAGCGUGGGGAGCAAACAGGAUUAGAUACCCCGGUAGUC